UGGUUACAUGCAUGUGAUUACAUGAUCUGAAGAAAACGAAAAAUGUGAUGUGCAAUUUUGCCGUUUGAGUGGAGAUAGCUUGUGGGCAAAAGGCGAGGUCAGGUAUAAGAAGUAGAGAACUUCGAGACCCGACUCAAAGCGCCUGAUAACUUAGGACUGGAGGGCGGUGUGAUUGUCCGGAGAUUCAAGAAAGUUUGAAUCAUUCUCUUUCUGGGACCAACAUGCAACAGGGUGGGGGAUCUGAAACGGAGGUGACUUGGGAGGAUCAGCAGAAUAUCAACAAAUUCGGUCGAUUAAACAACCGAUUUCACGAGCUUGAGGAUGAGAUUAAGAUCGCCAAGGAAACAAAUGAAAAUCUGGAAGAUGCCAGUAAUGAAUUGAUUCUUGCUGAUGAGGAGGUGGUUCGUUUUCAAAUAGGAGAAGUCUUUGCUCAUGUUCCAAAGGAAGAAGUUGAAACCAGAAUAGAACAGAUGAAGGAGGUGACCAGCAAAAACUUGGAAAAGCUCGAGGAAGAGAAGGAUUCCGUCCUGGCACAGAUGGCAGAGUUAAAGAAGAUUCUGUAUGGAAAAUUUGGGGACUCCAUCAACUUAGAGGAGGAUUAAUGGGGUUGUUCCUUUUGCUCUCUUUUUUUCCAUGUUCUUCUUUGAGGAAACCAUCCAUUCAUUUUUGAAAUGUCAGGAAAAACGUCUCGUUCCAGUGGUUUUCUGGUGUAUUCCAGUUUGUAGGAUGUAAGCGUGUUGAUUGUAUGGUAUAUUUUAAUGGAUGUUUAUCAGUCUCAUAUGUUUCUUUUGUGGGAUGGUUUCUUCUGUAGUUUUUCCCAUCUGAUACUUUGACGCUUGGGGAGCGUUAAACUCAUUAAGCUCUCUUAUGUUGUGGCAGUAGUCUUUACUUUCGUCAAGACUUGUGAGGUAAUAUUCCUACAUUAACAUUGAAUUGCAAGCUUAAUACAUUUGUAUUUGAACCUCUAAGUAAACUAUUACGUUGAAUAAUUUUACUUGCUCUACAAAUAAUCACACUAUUUAUUGCAUGCGCAGAUUACAAAUGUGAUUGAAAAGCUAGAAAUGUUAACUGAGCAGAUUAUACUGUUUGAUCAUAAAAACGCGUGGUUUUCUUCCGAUCCAAGUGAUCCAUUGAGAAUCCCUUGAGACGACCCUGUAACCUGCUUUUGAAUAUAAUCUCGGAGCACCCAUAUCAUCUUCAUAUGCUCGGAGGACAAGAUACCUGAAACCCCACAAAGUGGAAAGCACAUCGCAGGCUUUUAGCAGUACACUCCCUAUUUUCUGCCUCCUAUUAUGUCAAUAUUAACUGGAAUGUUAAACCAUAAAGAUACUUAUAGAACCCAGAUAGAAAUAGGGUAGAAACAGAAAGUUUCUUAAAACCUGAAAGUUUUGGAAACAGCUAUCCCAGAAACAUAAAGGUACUCUUCUGCUCCCCUGAGAUGUUGCAUAACAGAUUCAUCUCUCGAUGCUGUGACAUCCACAAUGCCAACUAGUUUUUCCCUUUGAGACUUGGAGGAAUCAGCUGCAGGUUCAGCUACCAAACAUGCAUAUCUGUUUAAUGUUAAGAUAAUCGUCAUGUUCUCUGUUGAAUCAGCCAAAGCACCAAUCUGACCUGUCUGGAGGUGAGUUCCUAAGUUUGUAAAGAAGCCCAGAAAGCACUUCAGCCUGUGAGAUAAAAUUUAAAAAAAAAAAAUCAAUACUAAUUUUACCUUACUGGAUUGAAAUAACAAAUCAUUAAAGUAAGAAAAUUAACGAUGUCAAAAAAAGAAGUUAAGAGAAAACCUUAAAGAAUUGGAAGAACAAAUCAUCAAAGAUAGCCACAGGAGUAUGGAAAGCUUCAGCUUGAAUUUGAGCUACUUCUUUCAUUUCAUAUCCAUCAUUAGCCAACCUCCUCGCUCUCCAUCCAUGCUCACUCACCAAAUUCUCCAAUUGCUCUUCUCUAUCUUGAAAGCUUGUUCUGUCGUUGACCAAAAAUUGCUUAGCAGCUGACGAAGCUGAGGUUGAAGAAGCACUACAGCACUGCACCACGCACCCCUUGUUACUAAGCACAGAUCCUUUCUGCCCACUAAUUUUUCUUCCAUGAUUAAGUCUGCUGCCUCUACGUCUAUACGGAGAUUCUGUGCUGAUACAUUUAGAGAUAUGCAAAUAACAGGGUAGCAGAUGAGCCAUUUUUGUUCAUCGACAGAAGAAAAAUAAAAUCUGUAAAAUCUAAAACGAAGGAAAAGGG
rnacentral:misc_RNA from 1 species